CCCUACGGGGCGCAGCAGGCGCGAAAACUUUACAAUGCGGGAAACCGUGAUAAGGGGACACCGAGUGCCAGCAUCAUAUGCUGGCUGUCCAGAUGUGUAAAAUACAUCUGUUAGCAAGGGCCGGGCAAGACCGGUGCCAGCCGCCGCGGUAACACCGGCGGCCCGAGUGGUGAUCGUGAUUGUUGGGUCUAAAGGGUCCGUAGCCGGUUUGGUCAGUCCUCCGGGAAAUCUGAUGGCUCAACCAUUAGGCUUUCGGGGGAUACUGCCAGGCUUGGAACCGGGAGAGGUAAGAGGUACUACAGGGGUAGGAGUGAAAUCUUGUAAUCCCUGUGAGACCACCUAUGGCGAAGGCGUCUUACCAGAACGGGUUCGACGGUGAGGGACGAAAGCUGGGGGCACGAACCGGAUUAGAUACCCGGGUAGUCCCAGCCGUAAACGAUGCUCGCUAGGUGUCAGGCAUGGCGCGACCGUGUCUGGUGCCGCAGGGAAGCCGUGAAGCGAGCCACCUGGGAAGUACGGCCGCAAGGCUGAAACUUAAAGGAAUUGGCGGGGGAGCACAACAACGGGUGGAGCCUGCGGUUUAAUUGGACUCAACGCCGGACAACUCACCGGGGACGACAGCAAUAUGUAGGCC
rnacentral:rRNA from 1 species